rnacentral:rRNA from 1 species
GACGAACGCUGGCGGCGUGCUUAACACAUGCAAGUCGAGCGGUAAGGCCCUUUCGGGGGUACACGAGCGGCGAACGGGUGAGUAACACGUGGGUGACCUGCCCUUAGCUCUGGGAUAAGCCUGGGAAACUGGGUCUAAUACCGGAUAUGACCUCAUGACUCAUGUUGUGGGGUGGAAAGCCUUGUGCGGCUAGGGAUGGGCCCGCGGUCUAUCAGCUUGUUGGUGGGGUAAUUGCCUACCAAGGCGACGACGGGUAGCCGGCCUGAGAGGGCGACCGGCCACACUGGGACUGAGACACGGCCCAGACUCCUACGGGAGGCAGCAGUGGGGAAUCUUGCGCAAUGGGCGAAAGCCUGACGCAGCGACGCCGCGUGAGGGAUGACGGCCUCGGUUGUAACU